rnacentral:lncRNA from 1 species
CACUCGAUUUAUUGUGUUUUUAGAAACUUGCCAUCUAACUAAUUUUUUUUUUUCCUUUUACUUACAAAUGUUAGGUUUGGAUUACUAACAUUAUGAUAAUUUUUUGCAGCAAAUUUAUAAAUAAUGAUAAUAUGUAAUAUUUUGAUGAUGUGUCAUAUGUUUAUAUCUUUAUUACUUUAUAUAUAGCAAUAAUAAUAUAAAUGAGCUGAUAAAAAUUAAAAUCAUGAAAAAUCAUAAUUAGAAUUCUAAAAAUUCAAUAAUCAUGAAUAUAAAAUCAAAGACUUCAAACAAUUCACCCUCCCAGAUAAGAUAAAGUAUAAUUGAGUUGUAUGAUGCAUCAUUUUUCGCUAUUAAAGUUUCAAUCGACUAGCUUAGUCUAAGAGCUCUCUUAUAUUUAUCUUCUAAAUUUUAAUAACUUUUUCUUAUUAUAAUUUUCAAGAUAAAUAAAUAGAGAGGAAAACUUAAUUUUCGAUGAUUGUCCUUUAUAAUGCAUCAUUUUAUUAUUAUUACUCUCUCUGUCCAUCUCAUUAGUUUACAUUUUUCUCUCCUGCUUAGCACGUAUUUUAAGACUCUUACAAAAUAUAGUUUCAUAACUUAUUUUUGUGAAUUUUUUUUUGUGUGUAAAAAUUCAAUCGCUGAAUUUUUAUUCGGAAGGAAAAAGUAAAAUUAUUUAUGAAACUACAUCUUUUAAAAGCCAUAAUGUGACAGCCCGAGAAUCCGGGGGCCUGGAUUCUGACGUCACCACACAAAACCUUUUAAAAACACCCUUGAAUUAUUUUUUUUUUUUUUUUUUUGAAAUGAUAAUAAAAGUCAAAGGAUUUAAAAACUUGAAAUUCAAACUUGAAAGCCAUAAUAAAAGAUUUGAAAGAGAACAUUUGAACCCCCUAAAACAACAGGAUCGCUUCCAGGUUACAGUAUUGAAAUUAGAAUCAACCACUAUUAUUACACCACAUCUCUUACCAAAUCAUAUCAUCUUCGAUAAGAAGAAUCACUGUCAACUAUUCCAGCUAUGACUUACAUCUGAAUCUCAAUAGCUCAACUCUAGCUAGCACCAACCUUAUCAAUCUUCCUGCACACUUCUUGAUCACUGGAUCCUUAACACCUCUGACUCCUCGCCUAGCCUUAGCUUUACUCGCAAUCAUAGACACAUCUCUUACCAAAUCAUAUCAUCUUCGAUAAGAAGAAUCACUGUCAACUAUUCCAGCUAUGACUUACAUCUGAAUCUCAAUAGCUCAACUCUAGCUAGCACCAACCUUAUCAAUCUUCCUGCACACUUCUUGAUCACUGGAUCCUUAACACCUCUGACUCCUCGCCUAGCCUUAGCUUUACUCGCAAUCAUAGACUAGCCAUUCAUCUUUAAUCCUUUCUGAAAUGAUUAAGAAAGGAAUAGCAAGAGUGAGCAACAAUGCUCAGCAAGUAAUAAUAAACAAUGAAAGUUCUGAAGUGAUAUAACAGAAAUUCUCGAGUUCAAGAUAUAAAAAGAUUCAACCUGAGUUCACAAAUUCAGGUAUUGUAUAAAAGAAUCACAAUACCUUGCAGCAAUAGAAACCUGAGGAAUUCAAUCCUUCACAAGAGAAUUAUUGAAUUGGACUAUCACAUUUUAAUUAAAAACCAAGGUUAGGAUGCUGAUCAGUCAUACCUAACCCCGAGCAGGCCCCGCCAUGCUCUGUCACUGGAUCCAAGGCACUCAUUGGCCUAACAUGACCACUCAUCUGGUCUGACCACUCAUUUGGUCCACAUAAUUUUAUAAAAACAAUAAUCCAAUUCUAUAAUUCAGUUCAUGAAACCAAUGUAAAUUAACAGAACAUAAUCAUAAUCAUCAUCAACAACUGAAUAAUUUCAAAUCAAACUUUGAUAAUAAACUUUUCAUAAGUCACAGUCCAUUCUUUCAUAAAUCAUCGUUCAGGAAAUCCCUAACUAUUCAAUAUCCUCCAUUAUCGGCUAAGCAACUGAAUUUAGCCUGCUAAACCAGCAUGACAAUGGCGGGUUGAAUAAUCAAGAAGAUCCCAAUUCAUUCAAAGCUCUAACUAUCACUGAGCAACACAUGCUUCAAUGACAAUCUGAACUUCGAAUUAAUUUGUAAAACGGAGAUUCUUUAGAAACUUGAAGAUUAGAAAGAAUGGGUUAGAAUACUCGCACUUUCGAACAUUGAAAAGAAAGGUAUGAAUACUUGAAACAUAGACCAAAGGAAUGGAUCAGAAUAUUUGCAAUAUAUCCAAGAGAAAGGUUUAGGAUACUUGCCUUAAAUCUGACUCCAGUUUCACAGCUCAUUCUCAUCUUUCAACUUUCACAAUCUACGCAUCUCGUAAUCUCUAGACCAUCUCUAGCUAUACUCUAUUCGCCACAUCGCUUCGCUUACUCGAUACAUCCCUUAUUCGCUUUGCAAUACCAUUCCGACUUUCUGACGUCUUCGAGCGUACACGUCUCCUCCAAAUCCUUUACGAGAAUAAGAUAAUAAUAUAGUCACUAAACAAUAUAUCGCGUAUACAUAUCACGUAUAUCGAUACCCACUUAUAUACCCCUUUAAACUUAUCAGAUAUCACUUAACACAUAAGCAUGUUUUGACUCUAUCAUAUAGUCAAGUCAUAUUCCACAUAACAUAUUAUCAAUUAAAUAUCAUAUAAAUCUUAUCGAAAAUCCGACAUCGUCUCGUCUAUUUAUUAGACCAUCCACCUGUUAUCCUAUCUCAAUCAACAAUCAACCGACAAGAUCCAAUUACUAUAAUCCAUAUAUUCUUAUCCAAUAUCAAUCAACUCACGACACUAUGUCAUCCAAAUCUUUUAUCACACGUGUAUACUAUCAUGAAUAAACAUGUAUAUCACGUAAUCAUCAAUUAAUAGCAAUCAAAUAACAUAUAAUCACAUUGUGCACAUUUAACAACAAUUAUUCACAUUCUCGACUCCAUCAUAUUAUUAUGUCACAUUAAAAUAGACUU